ACGAAGGGGGCUAGCGUUGCUCGGAAUCACUGGGCGUAAAGCGCGCGUAGGCGGAUCGUUAAGUCGGGGGUGAAGUCCUGGAGCUCAACUCCAGAACUGCCUUUGAUACUGGCGAUCUUGAGUCCGGGAGAGGUGAGUGGAACUCCGAGUGUAGAGGUGAAAUUCGUAGAUAUUCGGAAGAACACCAGUGGCGAAGGCGGCUCACUGGCCCGGUACUGACGCUGAGGUGCGAAAGCGUGGGGAGCAAACAGGA
rnacentral:rRNA from 1 species